rnacentral:rRNA from 1 species
UACGGAGGGUGCGAGCGUUGUCCGGAAUCACUGGGCGUAAAGGGCGCGUAGGCGGCCUGAUAAGUAGGGGGUGAAAUCCUGCGGCUUAACCGCAGGGCUGCCUUCUAAACUGUCAGGCUCGAGCACAGUAGAGGCAGGUGGAAUUCCCGGUGUAGCGGUGGAAUGCGUAGAGAUCGGGAAGAACACCGGUGGCGAAGGCGGCCUGCUGGGCAGUAGCUGACGCUGAGGCGCGACAGCGUGGGGAGCAAACAGG